rnacentral:rRNA from 1 species
UACGUAGGGUGCGAGCGUUAAUCGGAAUUACUGGGCGUAAAGCGUGCGCAGGCGGUUGGCAAAGUCAGCUGUGAAAGCCCCGGGCUUAACCUGGGAAUGGCGGUUGAAACUAGUCGACUCGAAUCUGGCAGAGGGGGAUGGAAUUCCGCGUGUAGCAGUGAAAUGCGUAGAUAUGCGGAGGAACACCGAUGGCGAAGGCAAUCCCCUGGGCCUGCACUGACGCUCAUGCACGAAAGCGUGGGGAGCGAAACAAGGAUUGAGAAACCCGUACGGUAGUCC